AUGAGGAAGUUUAACACGUCGUUCAAGAAGCGGCCAAACUCACCAACUAAAAACAAGGCGUGCUCAGCCCGUCCCAAACACCUGGCGGCCCGGCCGUGGGGAUGCUCCGACACGAACGCGAUCCCCGACACCAAAGAAGGGCAGCAGAAGGGCCGUGCCUCAGAGGACAAGCAGGACACGCACUUGGAGAAAAUAGCCCUUAGUCUGCAAAGAAAGAAGAGAGAACAUUGGGCUGAGGAGCUACUCUUCUCACACCAAAAUGACUGGGGUCACACCAGAUGCUUGCCCAGCAUCAGUUGGAUGGGAGAUGUCUGGUAAGUCUCAUGCAAACUAUGUGUUUUCCUCUGCAGGAAGACACCUCCAACAGGUGACUACCUUGCCAGUGAGGUCCAAAAACAGCAGAAGUAUUCCUACAAAGUGUGAUUGGGCACAGAUGUGGCUUUCUUCAAUACAGUACCUUCUAGUAAAGGAAAGAAGCAGGAAGGUUUCUAUGGGAAUAUAUCAAUACUUAGAAAAUGAAAAUCAUGAACAUGGAAACAGAGGGACAUGUUUAGUUACCUAUUAGCAACAAUAAAACUUAUUUUCAUCUAAUGGUACUUUACUGCAGCUAGCAUUGUAUUGAGUGAAAAUACAUUUUUAUUACACUUUCAGCCUGGACACAGUGUACAUUUUCAUGUUUUUUUGUUGUUGUUGUUGUUUUGUUUUGAUGUUGUUUUGUUUUGUUUUGUUUUGUUUUCCCCCAUUACUCACAACUGCUGUAUGCACAUGCAAACAGCUCAACACCCCGAGGCAGCCUGCAGAGUUGCAGCCUUGCAGCCCUGCUUUGGGCUCACGCAGAGCUGAAAGGCUUGACAGGUAGCAGUUUGCAAAAGACAUAGAAGCUUGCACAGGGCCUUGCUUUGUUAGAGUAACUGGAGAUUAGCUUAGGCAAGGAGAGCAGGUCAAUGCCCUCUUGUUCUUCUCAGCAGAAAAUUCUUGUUUCACUUACUAACAGUUUAAAAUAGUGAGAACAGUCUCUGAUGGGGUUGUUCUGUUCAGUGUUGGGUGUGCCUGUGCUUCGAUGCCCUUAAAUAACCAGUAUCUUUCAAGUGGAGCUUACAAGAGUCUUCCACUGAUUUUUUUCUGUCUGGACUUUUUGGUGCCUGAUAUGACUAAAUCUGUGCUAAUUCUUUGGACCUCCAAGUUUGUGCACAUUAUUUUGUCUAUUCUGAUGUAUAUUUGCACAGAAGCUGCUGAAACAACUUUGGUUUUGAGAUUUGUAUUCCUUAACUAAUCUCAUAAAACAACCUAGCAAAAUAGAAUUUGACUUGGGAACAAAGAGAAGAGUGGAAAUGUGGAUGUAAUCAAAAUUCUGUUAAGAAAACUAAGUGGGAAAACAGUAUACAGUUAGAGCUUGCUUAAUCUCCCUUCCUCUCUCAAGCUAUAGUUUAGAAGUCUACAAUAUACUAUGGCUUUGUUAAACUUGAUUUAAACAGGUAGCCAUCACCACAACAAGCCAUCACUAGGUGCUGACUGGCAGAAUCAGCCAGAACUGCUUAAGAAGUUGCUGUCCACAGCAGUUGGAUGCCUCCAUUUGGUGAUAUUUAACACCUCAAAGCUGAAAAAGUGUCUUCAUUUAGGUCAACCACCAUCAACAUCAGUUCAGUCAGGCUGAUUUUGGACGGAAGUGGGUUACAGCAAGCUCUUAUGCCAGGUGCUGUAGGCAUGUGAAGCUUCAAAACACUGUAAUGAAAGGAACAUCUUAGAAUUGCAACUUCAACAACUCAAUCUGCUUUUGAAGUAAGUAUGUGUUUGCAUUUACCAACACCCAAUUCUGCAUAUUUUUGGACUGCCCUUAUUACUAAUCGUAAAUUACAAAGCUUUUCUGAAAACAGAACUAUGCCAUCCUACUGAGCACAUGGCCAGUAAUGUGCAAUUUAGCUGUUAUCAGAUAAUUGUGUUUGGGUGCUGUCUUAUAAGUUAAACUAA
rnacentral:lncRNA from 1 species